GACGAACGCUGGCGGCGUGCCUAACACAUGCAAGUUGAGCGACGAACCAGGGCUUGCCCUGGGGCAAAGCAGCGAACGGGUGAGUAACACGUGGGUAACCUACCCCGAUAACCGGGACAACCCGAGGAAACUCGGGCUAAUACCGGAUGUGCCCGCCGGACUUCGGUUCGGCGUGUAAAGGAAGCUUCGGCCUCCGUAUCGGGAGGGGCCCGCGGGUCAUUAGCUAGUUGGUGAGGUAACGGCUCACCAAGGCCGCGAUGACUAGCUGGUCUGAGAGGACGAUCAGCCACACUGGGACUGAGACACGGCCCAGACUCCUACGGGAGGCAG
rnacentral:rRNA from 1 species